UACGGAGGAUCCAAGCGUUAUCCGGAAUCAUUGGGUUAAAGGGUCCGUAGGCGGUUUAAUAAGUCAGUGGUGAAAUCUGGUCGCUCAACGAUCAAACGGCCAUUGAUACUGUUAGACUUGAAUUAUUGGGAAGUAACUAGAAUAUGUAGUGUAGCGGUGAAAAUGCUUAGAUAUUACAUGGAAUACCAAUUGCGAAGGCAGGUUACUACCAAUAUAUUGACGCUGAUGGACGAAAGCGUGGGGAGCGAACAGG
rnacentral:rRNA from 1 species